GGAAGAGCGCUUGAGCCCAGGAAUUAAGGCUGCAGUGAGCUAUGAUCAUGCCAUUGCACCCCAGUCUGGGUGACAGCAAAACCCUGUCUCAAAAAAAAAAAAAAAUUACAGAGCUACUUGUGUGUUUACAAAAUAUAGUAUUUGAUAAUAAUAUUUCUCACAAUUGCACAAGAAGGAAGACAGGGACCACUGAUAAGACAAGGGUGUAGGAUAUUAACCAGACUUGGCUUCUUUCUCUCCUGCUUCAGCAGAGGCUGGACUCUCCUUAUUUUCAGUUUCUCCAUUUUCUGCAGGAAAAUCUUUACUUUCUGGGGCAGCUACUUUGGCCUGUUUGUCUUAUACUUUUCUUUGCAUUUUUUCAUUUGUUUGUGUGAAGAUUUAUCCUUUUCUGCUGCCUGUUUUGGAUUUGUUUUCACUUUUGUAGGGGCGGUUUUAGCUGAUAACCUCACCAGUCUUCACUUCGGCUCUUCCUUCACUGCCCCUUCAGCUGCGGGGAACUUGCUCUAGGGCAUCUUGGCAGGAGGGAGGGCGUCUGAGGGUACUGGUGCCUGCAGACUUCAAGCACGGGGAGCCUUCUUGAAGCGGGGCUGCCUGGCCACUUGGAAAAAGGUGGAUUAAUUUGGGGAUAUCCGAGGAGCCCCAGAGGGCCAUUGUAAUUCAAGAUCUUCAGUAAACUUUUGCCGCGGAGAAAGAACCCGGCCAGUAUUG
rnacentral:sRNA from 1 species